UAGGGAAUCUUCGGCAAUGGACGAAAGUCUGACCGAGCAACGCCGCGUGAGUGAAGAAGGUUUUCGGAUCGUAAAACUCUGUUGUUAGAGAAGAACAAGGACGUUAGUAACUGAACGUCCCCUGACGGUAUCUAACCAGAAAGCCACGGCUAACUACGUGCCAGCAGCCGCGGUAAUACGUAGGUGGCAAGCGUUGUCCGGAUUUAUUGGGCGUAAAGCGAGCGCAGGCGGUUUCUUAAGUCUGAUGUGAAAGCCCCCGGCUCAACCGGGGAGGGUCAUUGGAAACUGGGAGACUUGAGUGCAGGAGAGGAGAGUGGAAUUCCAUGUGGAGCGGUGAAAUGCGUAGAUAUAUGGAGGAACACCAGUGGCGAAGGCGGCUCUCUGGUCUGUAACUGACGCUGAGGCUCGAAAGCGUGGGGAGCAAACAGG
rnacentral:rRNA from 1 species